rnacentral:rRNA from 1 species
GAUGAACGCUGGCGGCGUGCCUAAUACAUGCAAGUAGAACGCUGAAGCUUGGUGCUUGCACCGAGCGGAUGAGUUGCGAACGGGUGAGUAACGCGUAGGUAACCUGCCUCUUAGCGGGGGAUAACUAUUGGAAACGAUAGCUAAUACCGCAUAAAAGUCGAUAUCGCAUGAUAUUGAUUUGAAAGGUGCAAUUGCAUCACUAAGAGAUGGACCUGCGUUGUAUUAGCUAGUUGGUGAGGUAACGGCUCACCAAGGCGACGAUACAUAGCCGACCUGAGAGGGUGAUCGGCCACACUGGGACUGAGACACGGCCCAGACUCCUACGGGAGGCAGCAGUAGGGAAUCUUCGGCAAUGGGGGCAACCCUGACCGAGCAACGCCGCGUGAGUGAAGAAGGUUUUCGGAUCGUAAAGCUCUGUUGUAAGAGAAGAACGAGUGUGAGAGUGGAAAGUUCACACUGUGACGGUAACUUACCAGAAAGGGACGGCUAACUACGUGCCAGCAGCCGCGGUAAUACGUAGGUCCAGGCGUUAUCCGGAUUUAUUGGGUUUAAAGGGAGCGUAGGCUGGAUAUUAAGUGUGUUGUGAAAUGUAGACGCUCAACGUCUGACUUGCAGCGCAUACUGGUUUCCUUGAGUACGCACAACGUUGGCGGAAUUCGUCGUGUAGCGGUGAAAUGCUUAGAUAUGACGAAGAACUCCGAUUGCGAAGGCAGCUGACGGGAGCGCAACUGACGCUUAAGCUCGAAGGUGCGGGUAUCAAACAGG